rnacentral:tRNA from 1 species
GGGGAUAUAGCUCAAUUGGUAGAGUGCUUGCUUUGCAUGCACAAGUCCCUGGGUUCAAUCCCCAGCACCAUUA